GAAUAGGUUUUCUUAAAAACCACUUAACUUUGGAAAGAGGGCCAAAU
rfam:Amborella trichopoda AMTR_V1.0_contig_8370, whole genome shotgun sequence.